ensembl:lncRNA
GUUCGUGUCAGAAGUUCAUUGUUACAAGACGGCGUGAGAGCUUGGGAUUUGUUCUGGGAGAUCACUGCAAACCUCUAACACACGUGUGUGCUUUCAGCUUAAUGACAAUAACCACUUUUACUGGAGUCAUGUCUUUUCUCCAUCUGCAUGUCUUUAAAAACUGACCAAUAGCGAUGGAGUAUUAUUAUUAAUAUCCCCGUCAGUGUCCAGCUCAGAUCCACAGACCGUCUGCACAGCAGAUGCCUGUGAGAGCUGCUUGAUUCAUUGCUACACGAUCCCAUAGUCGUGUCCUGGUGGGACCUCGUGGUGGAAGAGGCUCGCUCACGUCUUGUCCCGGGACUUGUGCUGUUCACUCCUCUUUUGCUUUUUUUUUUUUUUUUUACCUCUUCCGCUGGAAUAAAUUGCAAGGGAAGAAGUGCAGUAUGGCUGUUUUACUCCCAACGACUCCAUGCGUUUCUCAUGAAAUCCCCAGUCUCCCGUUGUGAGGGGUUUUCUUUAGUUGUAGAGGAAUCUACUUGUGUGCCACAAGACAGAUUCCCUGACGCGGAAGAACAUUACGUUACUUUUUAACUCAUUCGGCAAAGAAUUCUUCUCCAGCGUGAAUUCAUUAUCGAGGCUAAUUGCAUUGAAAUGACGCACGUCCUGUUCACACUUCCUGCAGGAAGUGACAUUGAGUGUUAGGAAGUUAGUUAAGGGGUCUGGUAGGCCUGAGGCUCUGUUGCACGUUACAUUUUCUGCACUGCUGUCAGAUUGGUUAAAGUAACCUUAAAUAUGCUUUGCCACAAGCCUUUGUCUGUGAGGGACCAUCGAAUGAGGUGUUUGCUGAGCAGCUGAGCCUGUGAAGGCCCCGCAGGCGGCCAUGUUGGAUCUCUUCCUCAGAGUGCUGGUGUUGACCCGUCUCCACCCGUCGCCUCGCACCACCCGGCUGCCCACCUAACUCCUCGCUCCUGCUCUCCUCCCGCAUCUCGUUCUCCCAGCGUCCGGCCAGGAGAAAGGUCCUUGUGUAAAAUGUCCUAUGCACACCACAAGCUGCCCACCUGGAGCUCACCUCACCUGCUCCUCCUGCCACUGUCCUACCUCUUGCUCUUGGCGGCUCCCCCAGAUGUGUCGGCAAACCUCUGCCGGGUGACCGGGGGGAUGCUGGGG